CUGAAAGCAUCUAAGCACGAAACUUGCCCCGAGAUGAGUUCUCCCUGAGACUUUAGGUCUCCUGAAGGAACGUUGAAGACGACGACGUUGAUAGGCCGGGUGUGUAAGCGCAGCGAUGCGUUGAGCUAACCGGUACUAAUGAACCGUGAGGCUUAACCUU
rnacentral:rRNA from 1 species